rnacentral:rRNA from 1 species
GAUGAACGCUAGCGGCAGGCUUAAUACAUGCAAGUCGAGGGGUAGCAAGAUUGUAGCAAUACAAUUGUUGACGACCGGCAAACGGGUGCGGAACACGUACACAACCUUCCUACAAGUGGGGAAUAGCCCAGAGAAAUUCGGAUUAAUACCCCGUAACAUAGCGAUGUGGCAUCACAUUGCUAUUAUAGCUUCGGCGCUUGUUGAUGGGUGUGCGGCUGAUUAGAUAGUUGGCGGGGUAACGGCCCACCAAGUCUACGAUCAGCAGCUGAUGUGAGAGCAUGAUCAGCCACACGGGCACUGAGACACGGGCCCGACUCCUACGGGAGGCAGCAGUAAGGAAUAUUGGACAAUGGACGCAAGUUUGAUCCAGCCAUGCCGCGUGAAGGAUUAAGGUCCUCUGGAUUGUAAACUUCUUUUAUAAGGGACGAAAAAAGGUCUUUCUAGAUCGUCUGACGGUACCUUAUGAAUAAGCACCGGCUAACUCCGUGCCAGCAGCCGCCGUAACAC